rnacentral:rRNA from 1 species
AUUGAACGCUGGCGGCAGGCUUAACACAUGCAAGUCGAACGAGUGGCGGACGGGUGAGUAAUGCUUGGGAAUCUGGCUUAUGGAGGGGGAUAACUACGGGAAACUGUCGCUAAUACCGCGUACCAUAGGAUGAGCCCAAGUGGGAUUAGGUAGUUGGUGGGGUAAUGGCCUACCAAGCCGACGAUCCCUAGCUGGUCUGCGUGGUUGACCAGUCACACCGGAGCGGAGACACGGUCCAGACUCCGACGGGAGGCAGCAUUGGGGAAUAGUGCACAAUGGGCGCAAGCCUGAUGCAGCCAUGCCGCGUGUGUGAAGAAGGCCUUCGGGUUGUAAAGCACUUUCAGCGGGUAGUCGUUACCCGCAGAAGAAGCACCGGCUAACUCCGUGCCAGCAGCCGCGGUAAUAC